GGGAACUAUAGGCAAGUUGGAUCGACAUCAACCAUUGGAAUGAUGCCAGAAUCCAUCACUAAGGAUGUGAUAAUUGAAGACUCAGAAAAUUAUUGCAUGUUUAGACAGAAUCAGCAUAGGUUUAUAAUGGGACACUUGUGUUUGAUGAAUUUAAGAGAUCUUGAAUACACAACUAGCAGAGUAGAGAGCAAAACAAUUGGAUGAAGUCCAUGAGGAUUUUCAGAAGGCAUUAAUAAGGAAUAAUUUUUAAAAAGUGGUUUUGAAAAAAUGAUGGCCAGUGGGAUAAGGAUGGACUGGAGCAUGGAUGGAACAGAAAGCAAAGGGUAGAAAUUAUUCAGCCUUCCCUUGUCAGUAAACGGUUACUACUUUGAUGCUGCAGUGUUCAAUGCUGGGCUCUCUGGAGUUCACAAUUUGUAUAAAUGAGAAGAUGAAAAGGCAGAGUCUCUCUUUUGUGUACCAGCAUGAGAAGAGGAAUGCAGGAGAAUGGGCCUAUACUCACAAGAGUUUGGAAGAGUGAAAGAAGUUGCUUGACCUGCUGAGUUCUCCCAAGUUACAGAAAAAGGUGCAAAAGUAAAUAGAACAAAUAACGAGGCAAUGUUUAUGGGUUUACGAUUCGUUUAAAGAUCUGAUGUCCGAGGUUGGUUAUAGGUUAGAUAACGAACCAUGUAAAAGGAUUCAUAUGUGCUCUGAAAAUUUGAUGUACAAUGAACAUACCAGAAUUUGAAUCAUGAAGGGAAGUUGGACCCCAUUGCAAAAAGGAAUUACCUUAAUAAGACGGAAUGAAUGAAAUGAAGAGUGGAUAUUACCUUUGAAAUCCUGACAUGGUGCAAGACAUCUUCCCCCAGUGGAGACAGACGGCACAACAGAUGGAAAGCAAACCAUGGACUAUGGAAAGGCUGGAUAAAAUUAACUUCAGCAGAUGUUAUGCAGCAUGUGUGAGGAGAGAGAAAGGUGCCACUAACUACACACACCUGCUUCCCAUCAGAAACUGCAGGAUAAAGACCCUGUGAUCACAACAAGGAGCUGCCUGUUCAUUGGUCGACUCAUGUAUGAGUAACCUCGUUCCAUGGUUCUGAGGACUAUCAGUUCUAAGUCUAGCAUCGUUCCUGAAUUCGCUACUAAACCAAGACUCCUGGUAAAGACUCUCUUGGACACCAAUUCCACGCUUGUUAUGAAUGUAAUGCCUCCUGACUCGGCCUCCGCGCCCGUGUUCAGCACUGGUGAAUCUGUGGAAUUCUCUGCCACAGGAAACAGUUGAGGCCAGUUCAUUGGCUAUAUUUAAGAGGGAGUUAGAUAUGGCCCUUGUGGCUACGGGGAUCAGGGGGUAUGGAGGGAAGGCUGGGGCAGGGUUCUGAGUUGGAUGAUCAGCCAUGAUCAUAAUAAAUGGCGGUGCAGGCUCGAAGGACCGAAUGGCCUACUCCUGCACCUAUUUUCUAUGUUUCUAUGUUUCUAUGUUCCACUGCCACAUCCUUGCAACACUGAAGACAUGAACUGUUUAAGAGUGGAAUUAGUAGUGAGUAUCUUUACCCUACUAACUUGAAACCCUCAGGGUGAAACCCUUGGAGUAGAGACUAAAAAGCUAUGGUUAUAACACGCAGCAGCUUUAAUGAGACAAUAUCAGCAGAGACGAGUGUCCAAGAUCUUGACUGUGUAGUCAGGAAUUAAUUCUGUAAAAUCAAACCAAAAGAUUUGAUCAAGUAUUUGUACAAGAUUGUGAGUCGACUUUCUGUGGACGAUGAACUAUUUCACUCCGACGAACCAAGAAACAAGAUGGCGAACCACCCAGGAUGAAGCACCAGCGUGGGAACAAAAUAUGUAAUGACACAGAGGAUUCAAUAUGGUUGGAUGUUUAAGUUUACUUCAUUUGAAGAAUCCAAAUUUGAUUUUCUGCAAGAACUGUUUAUUUUUGCAAAGACUUUGCUAAGUUACUGAUUUACUUUGUUUGAGAGUCGUGAUGUUGGAGAAUUGUUGUGAAAUGAGUUAAACUGUGUACAUAAUCUAAUUUUUGAAUUUGAAUUUAAACUUGUAGAAAUACUGCCUGGAACUGAAACUGAAGUUAACUAUAAUACUUGAGAAUAGGAAUUGUAUUUGGUUUUCUAACUAACUAGGGAUAAGUAAAAAGGAAAGUUUAGUCUGUAAACUUUUAAAUAGGGAAUAACACUAGAUCUAAUUAGUUAGAGAAACAAGAGUUAUUUUAAUGAAUAUCAUUGAUUGUAACUGAACAGGAAUUUGGCUUUUGUUGAUAUCUAUGAUUUGGAACCUAAACAGAAUGUUUGAAAUUUGAAUUGUUCUUGCUCAUGUAAAUAUUUUGUACAUAUUGUUUUUUUCCUUAUA